UCACCCAGCCUAAGAUGUCAUCCUCAAGAUUUCUUCAAGAUCUUUACUCUAUUCAAUCUAUCUUUUUCAACAUAGUGAGAUGGAAAGUGGGUAAUGGUAACUCAGGCAGUUUUUGGCAUGAUAAAUGGUCCUCAGAUAAUUCUCUUAGUAGCCUUUAUCCUCAUGCAUACAAACUUGCUCUCUCAAAAAACUGCAGUAUAAGCUCCCAAGGCAGAUGGACAAAUAAUUCAUGGAUCUGGCACCCGUUAAUUAGAAGGGGGAUCUCCCCUAAUGAAAGGGAAGACAUUCUUCAUCUUCUUUCUCACUUAGAGAAUAAAUCCCCAGGAGCUUCAUCGGAUCAUGAUGGCUUACAGUGGCCUCUCCUCUCUUCGGGAUUCCCCUAAAGGUAAAAGUCCACCUUUGGAUAAUCUCAAAAAAGAAGCUCAACACUAGAGACAAUUUGAUCAAAAAAGGCUGGUCAGGUGACCCUCUGUGUCUUGAGGAAAAUGAAACCCACGAUCACAUUUUCAUCCACUGUUCAUUUGCAAGAGAGGUUUGGAAGCUCCUUCUCCCUUUCUUUCCAGCUAACAGCUGGCCAUUAACCAUGGAAGAUCUGCUGUUGCUUCACAAAGUCCCUAAUAUUUGUUCAGACAUCAAAGCAAUAUGGAAGAUUCUAAUGCCUUGUUUUUGUUGGUGGAUCUGGUUUAGCAGAAAUUCUCUCAUUUUCAAGGAUAUUCAGCCCAUUCCGUUGCUCAUAGCCUCUAAUAUAGCGAGGUUUUCCAUUUUUUUGGACAGGUCCAGCAGAUGACAGGACGGCGAGGAGGCUGCGAAGGGCAUCCCUCAACCUCGGUCUGCAGGAGCUAGCUAAGAAGAACACCUCUUCAGGGGCUGGGGACAACAGUGCCAGCUAGUCUGCAGGAGCUAGCUAAGAAGAACACCUCUUCAGGGGCUGUAAAUGUCUCAAAGUUGAAGCUUUUUACCAGUGAAGAAAUUUCCUGUUAUUUUGGUUAGAAAUCAGAAAUACCAAGCUAUGUCUAGUAUUUUGUGAACUAAAGUAGUUGCUAUAUUCGGUUGUAAUGUAAGAAGUGUUUCUCUCUAGACAGAUGGGGGGGUUUGUAGGUUAAGUGUAGUAGGUGACGACAUUGGUCCGCUCCCUACUCACUUCUCCUACAGUGCCCCCAUCUACCUAGAGAAGUUGUAACCUCCUCGUUGAUACUUUUUUGCUUUAUAUUAAAUGAACAGGGUUAUACCCUGUUUUUCAGGUCA